GCCUGCAGCUGCUGUGGGGAGGAAGGCGUUCAAUUAUCAAUUCAUUCCUCAAGUCAGCAAAUACUUAUGGAGCUCCUACUAUGCGCCAGACACUUUUCUGGGUACUGGGAUGUUGUGGUGAACAGGAUAAACAAGAUCCCUGCUCUUACAGAUGGUACAGGCAAGUUGGAGAGAGAAUGUAUACUGAAGCCAAAACAGGAUAACUCCAGCUGGCAAGAAGUGCCAGGAACAGAGUGGACGAAGCAGGGUUACCUGGUGGAGAGCGACUGGGGCUCUUUAAGCCAUCUUGGACUAUGAGGUAACUUUGAAGAUGGAAACCAAGUGCUUGUAUGAUGGAGCAGAAAGAGAGAAGCAGCAAGAGGCCCUGAUAUUCAUGUGAAGCUGGACCUUCCCUGGACUGUGUACCUCAUAUCUCUUUUACCUGGGAUAGAAACAAAUUUCUAUCUUUUAAAACUUCCAUUAUUUGAGGUUUUUAGUUAAAGCAGCCAAGCUGAAUACUGUUGAUCCAAGAUGAAAUAUCAAUUUAUAAAGCUUUUGAUGUAAGUAACUAAACAAAACUUAUGGAAGCUUCAACAUAGGUACGUAUUUUUCCCACAUGAAACAGUGCAGAAGUAUGUGGCUGUUUAAUGAUGUCAUCCAGAGCCCAAGUUCUCUCAACCUUCUGUUCUUUGACCCUUAGAAUAUUGGCCUUAAUCCUAAUGCUUGACAACUCAUGGCUGCAAGAUGGCUGCUACAGCUCUAGGCAUUAUGUCCACAGAGCAAGCAAGAAGGAUGAGGAAGCACCAAAGUUCUGCUCCUCACAGGCUUUGUCUUUUUAUGUGGGAAGAGAAUUCCUCCUGAGCCUAGUUCCCUUAAUAUCUCAUACAGAACUGCAUCUCCUAUGUCUGUGGUGGGAUCCACCUUCUUGAAAUCAAUGGGUCUCUGUUAACCACUGAAAUACACUGGGAUUCUGUUACUAGGAAAGAAGGAAGUGGGGAGAGGCUGUGGAUAGGCCACAGACAGUGAGGAAAGCAAGGCUUACAAAUGCUGCGACAUGCCAAUAUUACAUAGCCAGUUUGUGGAAAACUAGAUUUUGAAUGAAGCUUGAACUUCCAAACCUGGGGUCUUAAUUGCUAUGACAAACUCUCAGGAAGUUUUCAGACACCUUUACUUUCCUUUCUUCAAAUUUUGUUUUUAGAAUCUCUGUCAGAGAUUUUCUAUGGGAAGUCCUAGGUUUCACAGCAUGUGGAAUUGAGAGACAAGAAAGAUCCCUUCCAACUUAAGCUUCUAGAGCAGCUCUGUCUAAUAGAACUUUUGAAAUGGAAAUGUUCUAUGCUGUGCUAAUACAGUAACCACUACCCACAUGUGGCGAUUUAGGACCUGAAAUAUGGCAAUUGUGACUGAGGAAUGGAAUUUUUAAUUUCAUCUAAUUUUAAUUUAAAUAGCCACAUGUGGCUAGUAGCCACUGUAUUGAACAGCACAGUUCCAAAGCUUCAAAUUAUUUGUUCUCAAAAUUCUAAGAUUCAACCUAAAUGCUAAGAAUCAACAAAAUUCCACCGCCAAAACAGAACUUUUUGUUUUCAAGAAGUAAUGGCCCACUGCUGCUUUGUAUGAGAUGGUGUUAAAGGCCAGCAGACAUAAUAGUUUUAUGAAGGAAGUUCAGUGUGGAUAUAAUCAUGUUAUAAAUAAAUAUUGGUACAUAGAAUCUGCCUGCUAAAAAUACUGAUUUAUGGAACUUCAAGUUUGCUUACAGCAAAUCAAGCUUGUAUUUCUGAAGUGUCAGGAGGACAGCUCUUUGGCCCAAGAAGAAAAAACCUACAGCAAGCAGAGCUAGAGAGUGGGGGCAUGGGUUAGCAGGGGAAAGCAGUGAGUCUCCUAUUAGUUCUGAGGCAGAGCUGGUGGUAUUAUUAUUGCUACAAAAGCCUAUAAUGACUUUCCCCUGAGCCAAUAGUAAGUUCAGAUCUUGUUUUCUAGGACCCAGUUAGUUUAAAUGCUGUAUUGUGUGUGUGUGUAUACACAUACACACACACACACACUUUUUUUGAUUUAUUAUUUUUUAAUUCUGUAUAUUAUGAUGUUUUGAGAUCUGUAUGAUUAUAUCCCCCAAAAAUUCAUAUUUUGGAAUCCUAACCCCAUUAGUUAUUGAGGGUGGAGCCCUCAUAAAUGGCAUUAGUGUACGAUAUAGUUUGGAUAUUUGUCCCUGCCCAAAUCUCUUGUUGAUUUGUAAUCCCCAGAGCUAGAGGUGGGGCCUGGUGGGAGGUGUUUGAGUCAUGGGGGCGAAUCCCUCAAGGCUUGGUGCUGUCUUCAUGAUAGUGAGUUUCUGCAAGAUCUGGUCUUUUAAAAGUGUGUGGCACCUCCCUUCAAUUCUCUUUCUUGCUCCUGAUUUUGCCAUGUGACAUGCCUGCUCCCACUUCACCUUCUGUCAUGAGUAAAAGCUUCCCAGAGCCCUCCCCAGAAUCAGAUGCUGGUGCCAUGCUUCCUGUACAGCCCGCAGAGCUGUGAGCCAAUUAAACCUCUUUUCUUAUAAAUUACCCAGCCUCAGGUAUUUCUUUAUAGCAAUGCAAGAAUGGCCUAAGACAGUGUCCUUAUAAAAGAGGCCCAAGAGAGACCAUUUGCCCCUUCCACCAUGUGAGGUUAUGGUGAGAAAACCAGCUUUCUGUGAAGCAGAAGAUGAGCCCUCACUAGACACUGUAUCUGCCUGUUCCUUGAUCUUUGACUUCCCAGCCUCCAGAACUGUGAGAAAUAAGUUUCUGUUGUUUAUAAGUGUUUUGGUUUAUGGUAUGUUAUAGCAGACUGAAUGGACUAAGACAGCAUCUUAGAAAAACUUUUCUGGCUCAGGAGUGACUAAACCCUCCAGGGACUUCUCAGAGAUAGCAAGUGUUCAGCCAGGAGCGUGCCUUUGAUAGGCAAACUAACCAAUCCAGAGCCACCCCUCCUGUCUCUGGCCUGUACACCCAGGAGACAAUACUCCUCUGCCGUAAUCAUCCCAGAAACAAGUACCAGCCAACUAGGACCCCAUCUCCACUAUCAUUUAGAACCUGCUAAAAUUAUUCAGACUCACCAAAUGCUAAACUAUUUGCCUUGUCUUGUCUUUCCCAUGGAAACCCCGACAAAAGCUCUGGUCUAGUGCCUUUCCCUUGAUCCUGUCUCCUGCCUCCUGACCCUCCUGAUGUCUUUCCAUUGUGGUCCUGGGUGACAUGCCAUGCUUCCUAUCUCCAGGACCUAUGAAUAUAACAAAUUUUGUUUUCCUGAGCCUCUCCUCUGUCUCCUCUUGUGGCCACAUCCAAGUUACCAUAUCACAAAAGAAAAUGAAACAAAUGCUUUGCCCUAAUAUUGUGUCUAGGCCAGGUGUGGUGGCAUUUUGGGAGGCCGAGGCGGGCAGAUCACCUGUGGUCAGGAGUUUGAGCCCAGCCUGGCCAACACGGCGAAACCCCGUCUCUACUAAAAAUACAAAAAUUAGAUGGGUGUGGUGGUGAGCACCUGUAAUCCCAGCUACUUGGGAGGCUGAGGCAGGAGAAUCACUUGAACGUGGGAGGUGGAGGUUGCAGUGAGCUGAGAUUGUGCCACUGCACUCCAGCCUGGGCGACAAGAGCAAAACUCCAUCUUAAAAGAAAAAAAAAAUAUAUUGUGUCUAAAGAGAUGAGGCUAUUUUAACAUGAGUCCAUCUUAUAGCAACUGAAGUGAACUGUACCUUGGAAAAGCAAGCAAUUUUGUCUUUUGCAUCUGUUAAUUUGGUUCAGGAGGAAAAAACACUUCUGGGUAAUUUAGUUUUUUUUUUUUUUUAAUGUUAGAUUGCUGACCAGUGAACCUACAUCAGAGAAAUAAAACAAACCUGUUUUAGCUUAUUAGUAUUUUCUGUUUCACAAAUCCAUUCCCUUCUAUUGACAACACUAAAAGCAAAAUGAAUGAUUGUAAUGGUGUUGGGAUAGUAUGUACUCUGUUAUUCUCUGCUAGGGGAAGGGAAGUUUGAGAGUCCAUCCUGGGUAGCCUGACUGUUAGACUUGGCAUUUGGAAAACCCCAAAUGGCAUCUAACUAACUAACUUGUAUUGUUUUGGGUUUUGACUGAUUUCCCUGAAGUUUGUAGCAUGGGUAUUUUUAUAGGAUUUUUGUUUAUUUUGUUUUGCUGUGCCAGGUUUCCCACUCCUAAAAAACAAAAGGGCAUGAUUGGCAGCAGGAACUCCGAGCUUCGCGGUGCACCAGGGUUGAUAGGGUUUGGAUGUUUGUCCCCUCCAAAUCUCGUGUUGAAAUGAGAUUCUCAAUGCUGGGGGUAGGGCCUGCUGGGAGGUGUUUGGGUCAGGGGGUGGAUUCCUUGUGAAUGGCUUGGUGCUGUCCCUGCUAUUAUAUAAUGAGUUCACGUGAGAUCUGGUUGUUUAAAAGCUUGUAGCACUUCACCCCUCCCACCUCACUCCCUCUCUCGUCAUGUGAUGCGCCUACUCCCACUUCACCUUCUACCAUGACUGAAAGCUUCCUGAGGCC
ensembl:lncRNA novel transcript